GGGAAGAUGCAAUCAGAUUUUGGAGUUCACAAAAAGGACAGGACCGAGAGCAUAUUAGUGUUGCUAGCAGGCAACAUCAAAAGUUAUGCACACGGCUGGAUCAAAGAGUUUUGUUUGUAUAGCUAGUGAGGAGGAAAAUACAUCUGUUCUAAAGUUGGCCGAAUACAACUAUUCGACAUGACACAUAAGAAGAAUGAUGGAACUCCUAUGACUGCUGAAGCUGCAGAAAUUAUUGAAAAAUUGAAGGAGAAAAGGGCGAAGUAUCAUGCUACUGGUUCGAGUCACAGUAUUGUUAAUGAUGAUGACAUUGAAAACUGAGCUAUUAAUGACGUUUUGGGUCCUGAAAGAUAUGGCCGGGUGCGUUGUCAAGGAUCAUUUGUUACUCCCACCAAAUAUUUCAGAUCCAGUUCAUCACAGUUCAUGUCAUCACAAUCUCAAUCUUACCAAUUAGAAGUUAGUCGUUUAAAACAACAGUUGGCUGAGAUGGAUCAACAAAUGGCUAACAUGAAAGCGGAAAAUGAAGCAAGGGAAGCAGCGGCAGCACAAAGAGAAGAAACAUAUUAGCAGAGAUGUGAAGAAUUUGAAAAACGACUACUAUGAUACAGAAAACUCAACCUUAAAAUCCACCAUCAUAGUCUCAUUUAUGUUAUCAGGAUUAUGUUAUUGUU